UUCCCCUUCCCCUCGUGUUCUCUUUCAAAAAUUUUUGUUCUGCAUUUUUCUCCAUGAAACCUGCAACCUCAUCUCUCUCGACCAAAAGCUCGCCAGUUGCCUCCAAGGUUGGCCGCCUCUACCGUCGCCGUCGGGAACCACUCGCUCCGAAGAACUCUUCCGGUCGUGGCUGGGUCCCGAACUCUAACCAUCUUCGCCUCGGCCUCUAAGGUGAGCGCGGACACCCAAAAAGCCCGCUGGUCGCCUCCGAGCUCGGCCGCCUCCGCCAUCGUCGCCAGGAGCCACUCGCUCCGAAGAGCCUCGCCGGUCGUGUUUGGGUCCCAAGCUUUGACCAUUUCUGCCUCGGCCUCUUCGACGAUCGCGUACGCUCAAAAUCCAGCCGGUCGCCUUCGAGCUUGGCCACCUCUGCCGGUCGCCUCCUAGCUUGGCCACCUCUGCCGUUGCCGUCAAGAGCCAUUCACUCCCAAGAACCCCGCCGAUCGUGGUUGGGUCCCGACCAUCUCUGCCUUGGCCUCUUCGGCGAGCGUGGACACCCAAAAGCCCGCUGCUUGCCUCUAAGCUCGAUCGCCUCCGCUGUCACCACCAGGUGCUACUCGGUCCGAAGAGCCCCGCCGGUCGUGGCUGCGUCCCAAGCUCUAACCUUCUCCGCGUGUGCCUCCUCGGUGAUCGCCGACACCCAAAAGCUCACCGGGCGCGUCCAGCAAGGAUUGAGGAUUGGUUUUCAAAGCAUUGGGGAGGUGGAACCAACAGUUCUAUAAGAAGAAGCAGCAGCAGCAGCCGGCGUUGAUGCAGCGAGCCCUUCUCCAGCAGCAGUCGCUCUACCACCCAGGCCUCUUGGCUCCUCCUCAGAUGUCGCUGUGGCACCUCCCUUUGUAUACAUUGACCAGGUUAAGAACUCAUUAACGCCACGGAUUGAGAUAGCUUCUCAAAACUCUUGGACUGGGAAAGGUGGAGCUGUCACUGGAGAAAUCAGGGAACAUAAAGGUAUUUUGUCGUUCGAGACCAUUAUUUGAAGAUGAAGGUCCCUCUGCCGUAGAAUUCCCGGAUGAUCUUACUAUCUGUGUCGACACUGGUGAUGGGACCAGUACCAAUCCUAAGAAAGAUUAUGAAUUUGAUAGGGUGUAUGGACCUCAUGUUGGACAGGGUACCGGUUGCUUCUUUAGUUGGUAAAACACUGGGCCUAUUCUUCUCGGCCCUAUGGUGCCUUUCGGGCAUGAAGUUCACUCCCUAGCUGGUCUCCAUCUACCACAAGAUCAAGCACGCGAUCUCCGAGCGACCAGGCGCCGAGGACUUCGAGAUCGUCUACGUGUCGAGCGACCGCAACAGGGCCUCGUUCGAUUCCUACUUCGCCCUCAUGCCCUGGCUCGCGCUGCCCUUCGUGGACCCCAAGAUCAGGACGCUCGCCAGGCAUUUCGACGUGCAGGACAUUCCCUUCUUGGUCGUCUUGGGCCCGGAUGGCAAGACCGUCACGAAGCACGGCCGGAGCCUGAUCAACCUGUACCAGGAGCAGGCGUACCCUUUCACGGAGGCCCGGCUGGAGUCGCUGCACAGGCAGAUGGACGAGGAGGCAAAGGGCCUCCCGAGGUCGGAGCUCCACGCGGGGCCACCACCAUGAGCUCACCCUGGUCUCAGACGGCACCGGCGGCGGGCCCUUCAUAUGUUGUGACUGCGACGAGCAGGGGGCCGGAUGGGCUUUACCUGUCCAUGGACUGUGGGUACGAGGUGCGCCCGAAG